AUACCACUCUAACAAUGCUAGGAUUCUAACCCUAUGUCGUUAUCCGGCUAGGGGACAGUUUCAGGUGGUCAGUUUGACUGGGGCGGUCGCCUCCUAAAAGGUAACGGAGGCGUGCAAAGGUUCCCUCAGGCUGGUUGGAAAUCAGUCGUAGAGUGUAAAGGCAUAAGGGAGCUUGAUUGUGAGACAUACAAGUCGAACAAAGACGAAAGUCGGCCUUAGUGAUCCGGCGGUACCGAGUGGAAGGGCCGUCGCUCAACGGAUAAAAGUUACUCUAGGGAUAAC
rnacentral:rRNA from 1 species